rnacentral:rRNA from 1 species
CGGGGCUUAAAGUCUUGUAAUUGGAAUGAUGGGAAUUUAAACCUCUUCCAGAGUAUCAAUUGGAGGGCAAGUCUGGUGCCAGCAGCCGCGGUAAUUCCAGCUCCAAUAGCGUAUAUUAAAAUUGUUGCAGUUAAAAAGCUCGUAGUUGAAUUUCUGCUGCAUUGCUUGUGUCCCUCUGGGGUCUAUGCAUGUGGCUUUUUUCGGACGGAGUUUCUUUGUCUGAAUGUUUACUUUGAGAAAAUUAGAGUGCUCAAAGCAGGCUUUCGCCUUGAAUAGUUUAGCAUGGAAUAAUAAAGUAGGACUUUGGUUCUAUUUUGUUGGUUUUAGGUACCAAAGUAAUGGUUAAUAGGAACAGUUGGGGGCAUUCGUAUUUAACUGUCAGAGGUGAAAUUCUUAGAUUUGUUAAAGACGAACUACUGCGAAAGCAUUUGCCAAGGAUGUUUUCAUUAAUCAAGAAC